GCCGAGAUAACUCAGUUGGUUAGACUGUGGUACUGAUAAUGCCAAGGUUGCAGGUUUGAUCCUUGUAUAGGACA
rnacentral:tRNA from 1 species